AUGGAGUUUACAUGUGCCGAGCUACCCAGCGACCUCCACAAUUAUUUUAAACUCCUCGCGGAGGAUUACCGAAGGGCGCCCAACCUGGAAGCCCAGCGAAGCGCCAUGGAGGUGGCGGUGUGCACCUUGGAAGACGAGGACAGCGUGCUAGAACGCCCUAGUGUCCGUCACCUCUACGAGCGGAUGUGUGCGCGACUCGGGGAGUUAGACAGCACGCUCCGCACCACACCAGCCCCCACGCCGUCCGCUCGGAUUACGCCAGCCCUUGUCGCAUCCUCGAUGCCCCCGGAUUCAGCUGACUCCUCUGCUCCUCCUCCCACACCAGAUCAGCCCGCGGUCCCGGUUUCAGUUUCUUUUUCCCAGCCCCGUCUGACCGUUGCUGCUGCACCAGCCUGCCCAGCUCCAGUUUUACCCCACUGGGAGGAAUUCCUGCACCAGUACGGUUUCACGUCUCAUGCCCACGUUCUAGCCACAGAACUGCAACCAGCAACCACAUCAGUCCCCGCGUUUCAGUCAGCCCAGCCCUGCUCUGCUCAGUUUCCAGCCCCAGUUGAGUCGUGCUCUGCUCAGGCUCCAGCCCCAGUUCAGUCGUGCUCCGCUCAGGUUUCAGCUCAGCCUUGUCACGUUCAGAGUCCAGCUCAGCCUUGUCACGCUCAGGUUCCAGCUCAGCCUUGUCACAUUCAGGUUUCAGCUCAGCCUUGUCACGUUCAGGUUUCAGCUCAGCCUUGUCACGUUCAGAGUCCAGCUCAGCCUUGUCACGUUCAGAGUCCAGCUCAGCCUUGUCACGUUCAGAGUCCAGCUCAGCCUUGUCACGUUCAGAGUCCAGCUCAGCCUUGUCACGUUCAGAGUCCAGCUCAGCCUUGUCACGUUCAGAGUCCAGCUCAGCCUUGUCACGUUCAGGAUCCAGUCCAGUCGAGCUCGGCAGCUGCGAACAGCACUCCAAUGAGAAGUCCGCGAGCAGCACUGCCGGCCCUGGUAAGGACGCCGUUCCAGCUCCCAUCGGCCCUGUAG
rnacentral:lncRNA from 1 species